rnacentral:rRNA from 1 species
GAUGAACGCUGGCGGCGUGCCUAACACAUGCAAGUCGAACGGAAAGGCUCCAGCUUGCUGCCGCUCUCGAUUGGCGAGCGGGUGAGAAAAACGUGGGUAUUCUGUCCUGCGCUGUGGGGUAAACCUGGGAAACUGGGUAUCGCAUACGAUAUAAGCUUUUUACCCGUGGGGUUCGAUGGAAAGUGUUGGGGUUUCGGUCGCUCCCAGGUGCUGUCGCGUCGCAGUAGCUAGUUGGUCAGGUAAAGGCUUACCAAGGCAACGAUGCGUAGCCGACCUGAGAGGGUGAUCGGCCACACUGGAACGGAGACACGGACAAGACUCCUACGGGAGGCAGCAGUAGGGAAUGUUCGGCAAUGGGCGGAAGCCUGACACAGCGACGCCGCGUGAGUGAUGAAGGCCUUCGGAUCGUAAAAAGCUGUUAUUAGGGAAGAACAACUGUCUAAGUAAACAUGCACGUCUUGACGGUACCUAAAGAGAAAGCACCGGCUAACUACGUG